rnacentral:rRNA from 1 species
UACGGAGGGUGCGAGCAUUAAUCGGAUUUAUUGGGCGUAAAGGGCGCGUAGGCGGCUAAGAAAGUCAGAUGUGAAAUCCCGGGGCUCAACCCCGGAACUGCAUUUGAAACUUCUUAGCUAGAGGUUGGGAGGAGAGAAUGGAAUUCCACAAGUAGCGGUGAAAUGCGUAGAUAUGUGGAAGAACACCAGUGGCGAAGGCGGUUCUCUAUCUUAAUCCUGACGCUGAGGCGCGAAAGCAAGGGGAUCAAACAGG